GACCUGCACCAAGGCCGCCAGCGCGAAGAAGGCGGCCAUGAGUCCGUUGCAGGCCCGCCACAGCGCUGGCGCCAUGGCUCGGAGAACACGGCGCGGGGCGGCCCCUAAGGUAAAAGCCUUGCUCCAAGUCCCCUUCUGACUUCUAGUCACUUCCGUGCUGCCAGCAGAGGGCGUGGGAUUCUUCCUGAGGAGCCUGAGUCUCAGCUUUGCCAGGUCCUUGCUGUGUGACCUUGGGCACCUGUGCUCCCUUGACAAAGAGGAAUAAAACCUCUUCAGACUACUCUCCUAUCGAUUCUCUCCUGGAACAUAUGACCACCAUCAAUUAUAGGCAAGAACAUGAACACGGGAGUCCCAAAGACUUGGGUUCAAAUGUCAGCCCCUUCACUCGCUGGCUGUAGGUGUGAGGCCCUGGGUAAGGUCCUUACCUCCCCAAGUGUCUGAGCCUGUUCCCGUAUAAUGUUCACUUGCCUUGAAUAUCAUGAAAUGUACAUUAGACUUUGUAAGUAAACACCUAGCUGAGUAUCUGGAGCAUAGUAAGUGCUUAUCACACAUUCCAUGGAGU
rnacentral:lncRNA from 1 species